rnacentral:rRNA from 1 species
UGGGGAAUAUUGCACAAUGGGGGAAACCCUGAUGCAGCGACGCCGCGUGAGCGAUGAAGGCUUUCGAGUCGUAAAGCUCUGUCCUAUGGGAAGAUAAUGACGGUACCAUAGAAGAAAGCCCCGGCUAAUUACGUGCCAGCAGCCGCGGUAAUACGUAAGGGGCGAGCGUUGUCCGGAAUUAUUGGGCGUAAAGAGUGCGUAGGCGGCAAAUUAAGUCAGAUGUGAAAACUAAGGGCUCAACCCAUAGAUUGCAUCUGAAACUGAUAUGCUUGAGUCAAGGAGAGGAAAGUGGAAUUCCUAGUGUAGCGGUGGAAUGCGUAGAUAUUAGGAGGAAUACCGGUGGCGAAGGCGACUUUCUGGACUUGAACUGACGCUGAGGAACGAAAGCGUGGGGAGCAAACAGG